rnacentral:rRNA from 1 species
AACGCUAGCUACAGGCUUAACACAUGCAAGUCGAGGGGCAUCAGGAACAAAGCUUGCUUUGUUUGCUGGCGACCGGCGCACGGGUGAGUAACGCGUAUCCGACCUACCCAUAACUCGGGCACAGCCGCUCGAAAGAGCGAUUGAUUCCCGAUAUGUCUUUGGAGUAGAUUCAAUGAUGAAAGAUUCAUCGGUUAUGGAUGGGGAUGCGUAAGAUUAGGUAGUAGGCGGGGUAACGGCCCACCUAGCCGACGAUCUUUAGGGGUUCUGAGAGGAAGGUCCCCCACACUGGUACUGAGACACGGACCAGACUCCUACGGGAGGCAGCAGUGAGGAAUAUUGGUCAAUGGGCGGAAGCCUGAACCAGCCAAGUAGCGUGAAGGAUUACAGCCCUACGGGUUUUAAACUUCUUUUAUAUAAGAGUAAUGUGCACUACGUGUAGUGUAUUGCAAGUAUUAUAUGAAUAAGCAUCGGCUAACUCCGUGCCAGCAGCCGCGGUAAUACGGAGGAUGCGAGCGUUAUCCGGAUUUAUUGGGUUUAAAGGGAGCGUAGGCGGGAUAUUAAGUCAGUCGUCAAAGCCUGUGGCUCAACCACAGCCCGCGAUUGAUACUGGUAACCUUGAGUGCGGAUGAGGUGGAUGGAAUUCGUGGUGUAGCGGUGAAAUGCUUAGAUAUCACGAAGAACUCCGAUUG